rnacentral:tRNA from 1 species
UCCCCGGUAGCUCAGUUGGUAAAGAAUCCGCCUGCAAUGCAGGAAACCCGGGUUCGAUUCCUGGGUUGGGAA